AACGUAGGUGGCGAGCGUUAUCCGGAUUUACUGGGCGUAAAGCGUGUGCAGGCGGUGGUCCAAGUGGUGUAUGAAAUUUCCCGGCUUAACCGGGAAGGGUUAUGCCAGACUGGACUUCUGGAGUGCGAGAGAGGGGCGUGGAAUUCCGGGUGUAGUGGUGAAAUGCGUAGAGAUCCGGAGGAACCCCAGAGGCGAAGGCGGCGCCCUGGCUCGCAACUGACGCUCAGACACGACAGCAUGGGGAGCGAACGGG
rnacentral:rRNA from 1 species